rnacentral:rRNA from 1 species
UACGUAGGGUGCGAGCGUUAAUCGGAAUUACUGGGCGUAAAGCGUGCGCAGGCGGUUAUUUAAGUCAGGUGUGAAAGCCCUGGGCUUAACCUAGGAAUUGCGCUUGAGACUGGAUAGCUUGGAGUGCGGCAGAGGGAGGUGGAAUUCCACGUGUAGCAGUGAAAUGCGUAGAGAUGUGGAGGAGCACCGAUGGCGAAGGCAGCCUCCUGGGCCAGCACUGACGCUCAUGCACGAAAGCGUGGGGAGCAAACAGG